AUGAACACUAGCAUAUCAAACAGUGUGCAUACACCAAUAAUUGUGGAGAUACCUGGUGAAUUAGAUGAGUUGAGCCAAGCAUCUCAAAAGCUGGAGACUGCUUACUCCAACAUCUUUAACAAGAUCCACAGGUUCCCGGCAUCACUGCGAAGCCUGGAUGGCGAUUACAUCGUCCCAAGAAUGGUGUCCAUAGGCGCUUACCACCAUGGCCGCCCGGAGCUGCAGGGCAUGGAGGAGAUCAAGAAGGCGGCGGCACACCAGUUCUGCAGGGACUCGGGCCACUCUCCCGAGGCCGUGUACGAGAAGGUCCUCGCCGUCGCCGGCGAUGCUCGAAGCUGCUACACGGACGGCGGAGCCGCAGGCGCGCUCGAGGGCGAUGACUUCGCGUCCAUGAUGUUGAGAGACGGCUGCUUCUUGCUGCAGCUCGUGCUCUGGUUCUUGCAGGACUGCUCCGGCGAUGGCAAGCGUGGCCCUCCGCCGUUCACGUGCCAGGUCAACAGCCUGGCCCUUCUGAGGGACCUCUUCCUGCUGGAGAACCAGAUCCCGUGGGCGGUGCUGGAGGCCCUCAUGGCCUGCCGGGCGGCCGUCUUCCCGGCUGCGCUGUGUGAGUUCGUCGUCUACAUGGGGAAGUUCUUCCAGCUGCACACCGACACCGAUCUGCUAGCCAAGCCCCUGGACCUGGACGGGGGCUACAGGCCGGCGCACCUCCUUGCCCUCCUCCAUUUCCACCAAUCAGGCGGCUCGAGCACAACCGAGGAGCUUCGACUCCGGGGGCUCAGUUCACUGCCGCCGGUGGUCACAAACGCCGUGGACUUCGCGGAGAUGGGCAUCAAGCUGGCUCCCAGCAAGACGGCGGAGUUCAGGGACAUGGCUCUCACCCAGGGCCUCCUCUUCCCGGAGCUGUCCAUGCCGCCUCUGUACCUCGCCGAGCUCACCGCGAGCUGGCUCGUCAACAUGGCGGCCUUCGAGGCGAGCACGGGGGUGCCUCACGGCGCCACCUCCGGCGAGUACACGGUCAGCUCGUACCUCACCCUCCUGUCCGCGCUCAUGGACCGGGAGGAGGACGUGCGCGAGCUGUGCGCCAAGCGGCUCGUCCAGAGCGAGCUCACCGACGGCAGGACGCUCGCCUUCUUCAAGGGCGGCCUCACCAGCUACGCGUACGUGAACGACCGCUACAUGGCCAUACUGAGCCAGAUUGCGGGGUACAGGCGCAGGCGCAGGCUGUGGAUCGCCGUCCACAAGUUCGUCUACACCAACUUCAGGACCAUCGUUACGUUGCUGUCCGUCGUCAGCGUGCUCGUGGGCCUCUUCAAGGCGCUCCUCUCUCUCAGCAAAGCCUAG
rnacentral:rRNA from 1 species